rnacentral:tRNA from 1 species
GUGGAUGUAGCUCAGUUGGAAGAGCGUAAGAUUGUGGCUCUUAAGGUCGUGGGAUCGAAACCCACCAUCCACAUUUUUUAUAAUUUCUAUUAUAAACUAUUAAAACAAAAUAAAAAUGUGGAUAGUGGGUUUCGAUCCCACGACCUUAAGAGCCACAAUCUUACGCUCUUCCAACUGAGCUAUAUCCAC